AACUUUUAACACAUUUAUGAUGGUCAAGCCAAAAUUACUGAAUUGGGAUGACAUCCACCCCUAGUUGUUGCAACUCUUUCCGGUAGUCAAACUUGAGCCCGUCCUAAUAGAGAUGUUAUUUGGUAACGUAAUACCCCAUCUAUGAUAUGACGGCAUUUGAUUUAGAAUUAAAGAAUUACUAAAUAUAUUAAUGUAUCAUUCAUUUUUCAAUCAACCAAAAAGUAAAUAGUAUUGUAUAAAAUGAAAAAAUAAGUUGAAGUAUUUUACUCUUUGGGAGCUUUUUUCAGCUUGUUCGUUCUCCUUAAGAUGUAUGUUAUGUUCCCAUCCCUUUAGGACAAGUAUAAUAUCUCAGGUAAAUACUUAUCCACACCGGAUAUUUAUAUCAACUUAUAUAAACUCAUCAUAGUUAAGUAAUUUAAUAAGAGUGUUAAUUAAAAGUUUAUGUACAAACACAUAUCUUGCAUUUAUUAGCUUGGUGUAAACAUCGGGUAUAGGUAAACUCUUACCCAUAUAUUACAUAUGAAUAUUCAAUACUAUCAGUAACUCAAACCAUUUUUUAUCCGUAUAAGUUUUCAACCCAACCAUAUUUGUUCUGAACACCCCCCCCCCCCCUCAAAAAAAAAAACCCCCUAUUUUCCAGCAUUAUAUAUACAUAUCAAAGGGGCUCUUGUUAUACAUCUUAGUUUCCAAUGUUUAUCUUCAUUGCGUUUAUGCCCAAUCAUUGUAGGUCUCGCAAGUGGAUAGGAUUGAAUGUGAAGCGCAGCCAAGGAUGACUUGCCGCUAUAUCUCUUCUCUUCAUUCACCAUUUUCACAGAAAAUUAAAGAAUGAGAAUAGAGAAAACAUCAAAAGUACCAUAAAGGAUGUGGUGAGGCGGAUGGAGUUGCUCCUCCCUUAGCCAGAGGUAUGGAGUUCGAGUCUUGGGCAUGAAAAACCCUUGGUAGGGAGCGCUUCCCCCUGAAUGGUCCUACACAGCGUGAAUCCAAAUAUAGUCGGGCUCCAAUAUGGGUACCGGCCGGGUGGAAUCGAAAAAAGAGAAAAAAAAAACAUCAAAAGUAGAAAAGAAAAUGGACUUCUUAUUUAUUUGAGAAAAUCGGCAAGUUAUCUUUGGCUAGGGUUUCUUUCUCAUAUUCACAUGUUGGAUCUACGAUGAAUAUGAGGAGUACGGCUCGAUCAGGCCUUACUCACUCAACAAGGACAGAAACUUCACUCACCGAGGAAAGAAAAUUAGGUAAGUGCCAAUCCUUGUUCUAAAAGUUAUUCGUGCUUAGUUAAAGGUCUCAUGUGGCUGCGAGUCUUUUAAUCCCUCAUAUGUUACAUUCAUUAGUAUCCGCUACGAAAAAGCCUGAAUUUCCAACAGGCUUUUUCUCGGAAAUCUCAUAUUUUCUACAGUGUUCCAACAGGAAAGAUCAUCAAAAAUUUGUGUUAUUUAAUAGUGAUGUACGUCUACUCGUAGCAAUAAUAAUAUAUAAGAAUCUUCUGAGGAUAUCAAAAUUUAUGGUUUGAUUUA